rnacentral:rRNA from 1 species
CCGGUUUAAGCAUGUAGGCGGAGGUUCCAGGUAAAUCCGGUACCUUAUUAACGCUGAGGUGUGAUGACGAGGCACUACGGUGCUGAAGUGAUAAAUGCCCUGCUUCCAGGAAAAGCCUCUAAGCAUCAGGUAACACGAAAUCGUACCCCAAACCGACACAGGUGGUCAGGUAGAGAAUACCAAGGCGCUUGAGAGAACUCGGGUGAAGGAACUAGGCAAAAUGGUGCCGUAACUUCGGGAGAAGGCACGCUGAUAUGUAGGUGAAGUCCCUGCGGACGGAGCUGAAAUCAGUCGAAGAUACCAGCUGGCUGCAACUGUUUAUUAAAAACACAGCACUGUGCAAACACGAAAGUGGACGUAUACGGUGUGACGCCUGCCCGGUGCCGGAAGGUUAAUUGAUGGGGUUAGCGGCAACGCGAAGCUCUUGAUCGAAGCCCCGGUAAACGGCGGCCGUAACUAUAACGGUCCUAAGGUAGCGAAAUUCCUUGUCGGGUAAGUUCCGACCUGCACGAAUGGCGUAAUGAUGGCCAGGCUGUCUCCACCCGAGACUCAGUGAAAUUGAACUCGCUGUGAAGAUGCAGUGUACCCGCGGCAAGACGGAAAGACCCCGUGAACCUUUACUAUAGCUUGACACUGAACACUGGUCCUUGAUGUGUAGGAUAGGUGGGAGGCUUUGAAGCGUGGACGCCAGUCUGCGUGGAGCCAACCUUGAAAUACCACCCUUUAAUGGCUGGUGUUCUAACGUAGACCCGUAAUCCGGGUUGCGGACAGUGUCUGGUGGGUAGUUUGACUGGGGCGGUCUCCUCCCAAAGAGUAACGGAGGAGCACGAAGGUUGGCUAAUCCUGGUCGGACAUCAGGAGGUUAGUGCAAUGGCAUAAGCCAGCUUGACUGCGAGCGUGACGGCGCGAGCAGGUGCGAAAGCAGGUCAUAGUGAUCCGGUGGUUCUGAAUGGAAGGGCCAUCGCUCAACGGAUAAAAGGUACUCCGGGGAUAACAGGCUGAUACCGCCCAAGAGUUCAUAUCGACGGCGGUGUUUGGCACCUCGAUGUCGGCUCAUCACAUCCUGGGGCUGAAGUAGGUCCCAAGGGUAUGGCUGUUCGCCAUUUAAAGUGGUACGCGAGCUGGGUUUAGAACGUCGUGAGACAGUUCGGUCCCUAUCUGCCGUGGGCGCUGGAGAAUUGAGGGGGGCUGCUCCUAGUACGAGAGGACCGGAGUGGACGCAUCACUGGUGUUCGGGUUGUCAUGCCAAUGGCACUGCCCGGUAGCUAAAUGCGGAAGAGAUAAGUGCUGAAAGCAUCUAAGCACGAAACUUGCCCCGAGAUGAGUUCUCCCUGAGACUUUAAGUCUCCUGAAGGAACGUUGAAGACUACGACGUUGAUAGGUCGGGUGUGUAAGCGCAGCGAUGCGUUGAGCUAACCGAUACUAAUGAACCGUGAGGCUU